rnacentral:tRNA from 1 species
CGGAAAUAGCUCAGUUGGUAGAGCAUCAGCUUCCCAAGCUGAGGGUCGCGGGUUCGAAUCCCGUUUGCC